GUGGGGAAUAUUCCGCAAUGGACGAAAGUCUGACGGAGCAACGCCGCGUGAGUGAUGAAGGUUUUCGGACUGUAAAGCUCUGUUGUUUAGGACGAAAGUGCCUGUUGCAAAUAGUUACAGGUAUUGACGGUACUGAACGAGGAAGCCACGGCUAACUACGUGCCAGCAGCCGCGGUAAUACGUAGGUGGCAAGCGUUGUCCGGAAUUAUUGGGCGUAAAGAGCAUGUAGGCGGGAAUCUAAGCCUGUUGUGAAAAUGCGGGGCUCAACCCCGUAUUGCGGUGGAAACUGGGUUUCUUGGAGGCAGGAGAGGAAAGGGGAAUUCCCAGUGUAGCGGUGAAAUGCGUAGAUAUUGGGAGGAACACCAGUGGCGAAGGCGCCUUUCUGGACUGGGUCUGACGCUGAGAUGCGAAAGCCAGGGUAGCGAACGGGAUUAGAAACCCCGGUAGUCC
rnacentral:rRNA from 1 species